GCGGCCGUGGUGGAAUGGCAGUCACGCCGGGUUUAGGUCCCGGUGCGCUCACGCGCGUGAGGGUUCGACUCCCUCCGGCCGCA
rnacentral:tRNA from 1 species